AUGGUGACUGUCAGCAACAUUGAUGUUGAUAUCCAACUGCAGCAGGGUGAUGACAUAAUAAAGAGACAAGUUCAAAAGCCCUGGUCUGAGCCAAUCAGUGAACCUGUGACUCACUCUGUGUACAAAAACAGCAAGACAAGUAGGAAACAAGAUCCCUCUUUCCCUCCCUCCCCCCUGAACCCCCCUCUGAUGACUGUAUCAGGUGUUUCUGGUGAGGGAGGAGCUGAGAGGAUUGCAUCCAAUGGAUUGUUGGGUAAUCUGCCACAAACCAAGCCAAACCAAGGGGAUGUGUUUUCUGUUGUUGAGGAACGUGUGUCACAUUAUAAAGAUGAUACCACAGAGCUGCUAAGAGAGGCUGGUGUGCAGAUUCCAAAUCUAGAAAACAUCACGAUGGAUGUGGACUUUGGCAAGCCAGCUCCAACACAACAUUCACACACCUCAGAUGUCCAAGAUAGCCUGGAAACUACAGACAAGCUUUUAGAGCCUCUAGCAAAGGUGCCUGAAUCGUCAUCUGUAGCUGCUACAUUAGAUCAAGCCUCCUUGUGUCAAAGUCCAUGGUACCUGUCAGGACCUCCAGUGUCACAGAAACACACGAACACACACACAAAACUUACAAAACAGGAUCAGAAACAGCUUAAAGUGGCAGCUCAAAGACCUUUGCCUCAGCCUCCCCUCCAGUUUGGAGCUCUGGAUGGGAAAAAGAGAAGCAAGAAGAUGACAGGAGGUAAAAAGGCUGGUGAGACUGAAGUUUCCACAUCAGCCAGUUCCGCUAAUGAUGGAUUCUUACCAACGCCGCAGGAUCGUCCUCUGACUGCCAGAGAGAGAAGACGUCUGAGACAGUCUCAGGAGAGUAGCAGCCAAGCUGGUAAUCCCUCCAAACAGAGAAAAAUACUCUGA
rnacentral:lncRNA from 1 species